rnacentral:rRNA from 1 species
AUGCAUUGGAAAAAGUGGCAGGAUAUAGCAGUAGCCAAAUGUGUUGGUGGAAUGGGUUUUAGGGACCUCCAGUUAUUUAAUAAAGCCAUGUUAGCUAAACAAGGAUGGAGGCUAUUGACUAAUCCCGAAUCGCUAUGUGCAAGACUUCUGAGAGGGAAGUAUUAUAACGGCAAAGACUUCAUGACCGCUACAAGAAGAAGGGGAUCCUCACACACAUGGCGCGCCAUAUUGUUUGGU